ensembl:lncRNA
UGUAUCUGCGAGAUCUUGCUGUGGGCCAGGUAUCCAUUCUCCUGUGGCAGCCGUAGAACCUACGGAGACUAGAGGUCCGUGGGUGGUGGAGGAUCCUUUGCGUAGCAAAAAAGGAAGGCGAGUGCUCCUGCAUCCUCUCCAGACGAUACCCAGAGGAGGGAAGGCAUAUCAGCGGCAAGAAGCAGUCAUGAGAGGAAGUCUCUUUGGAACUUUGUUUCAUACAGCUCAUCCAUCACAGACCGUGCAAAACAUGGUGGACCACCUCCAGGAAGACUACCUGGUAGCAUUAGCCUAUCCUAGAUGGCUCCUGACAUUUCUUUUUUUGCUUUGACAACUUAUCCAAUGUGAUGCUUGCCAUGUACCUUCACCAUAGUUACAUUCAUAUGCUGUAUCACAAUGUUUUGGCCAACAACAAACUGCCAUGGCACUGGUCUCAUACAGUUAAUCAUCUAGUGACACCAUACACAUUGGUUUGUAUAAGUACAUGCUGGUAAAAAUGAACACUUGAGAAAAGCUCCACCAUGAACAAGACUGACUUCAUCUGAUCUCAGAAGCUAAGUAAGGUCAGGGCCUGGUUAGAAAAAAAUUUGUGAUGUUUUUUACUGCCAUGCUAGGUCAGUUGGUAGAACAUAAGACCCUUUAAAAUGAACAAGUUUCUUAGAAUGUAUCUGCGGUUAAACAACACAUUACUGUACUUAUAUUGCAUUUAUUUAUCUAUUUAUUGUGUGUAUGAGUACACACAUGUCAACACACAGCAUGACAGUGGGGUUCAAAGGACAGCUUGUAGGAAUCAGUCCUUUUUGUACCCAACAAGUGCUCUGAAGAUCAAACUCGGGUUAUGAGACUUGGCAGCAAACACAUUUGCCCAAUAAAGCCCUCAUGCUGGACCCAAACUAUUUGGUUGCUUUUGUGUUUGUUGCCAAGGAUUGAAUCUAGGAAUGAUAGACACUGCCCCAAGCCUGUGGUUUUUCUUCUGUAUAAUUAAUAAGUGGUUUAUUUAUAGUAAGAUACUCCAUUUCAAAUGUUAAACUGUCCACUGCCCCUCUACGCUAGUUGUACACAUGACCAACAGCUGGCAUUGCCGCUCCUUUUCUACAAGAAUUUGACCACAUGAAUGCUCAUUUUCCUUCCUUCCUGGUACUGUAAUCAGAACCGUGCACAUGCUUGUCAGGAGCCUUUCUACAAUGUUAGUCACUGCCACCCACUUUUUUCCCCAUGCCCUUCCAGGCUAACUAUAGGUGAUUUUAAUAUCCUCAUAGAUGAUCUUUCUCAGUUCUCAGUUCUGUGCCCUACUCUCCUCCCAUCCAGAAAGACAAUUUCAUCUCUUCUCUCAGCCAAAAUCUCCAUGCUUUGGUCCUCAUGCUGAGGCCUGCCAUUUACCUAAAAUGUAAAGCUCUCAGAAAAAAAUGUCCAUCACUCAUGAGGCUGAGGCAUGAGAACCAUCAGUUCCAGGCAAAGUCUGGGUACAAAAGUCUGAGCAAGAUCCUGUCUCACAAAAAAAGGAGGAAAGGAGGUCCCUAGAUCCCCACAAUCUGCCGUAUGCCAUGUGGAUUCAUUUACCUGUCUUCUUAUUAUAUAUUAAUCCUUUCCUACUGUCAUUCAAAUCUAAUCUUUCCACUUCAAUUUUUAAGAAGCCCCAUAUUCUCUCUCUCUGAUUUUUUUCUCCCAAGACUCACUUUGCAGCUCUGGCUGUUCUGGAACUCACUGAGAUCCCCCUCUGCCUACCAAGUGCUGGGAUUAAAGGUGUGUACCACUAUGCCUGGCAAAAGCCCCAUAUUGUCUUGAGGACGUCUCUCCACCAGUUUCAUCUUCUAUAUAAAACAGCAUUAAUAGACAAAUGUUCUAUUAUUACUUCCCAUCUUUUCUGUCCCAUAUUUCUGGUGCUGAGAAUUGAACCAUCUCAAAUACUAAGCAUAUGCUUUACCACUAAGCUACACCCCCUGCCGACUUCCAUCUUUUUUGUUACAACUUUAUGGAGAUAUAUUUUAUAUACCAUAAAAUUUAACUUCUUGAAGGAUAGUCAGUGGUUGUAGUACAUUCAUAAUGACAUGCAACAAUCACCAUGAUCAGUCUUUAAACCUUUUUAUCCUUGCUCCUACUAAAGAUGCUUCAUACUCAUUAUUAGUAAGUUCCUAAUAUUUCCCUCCUUGCUCCCUUCCUGCCCCCGUAGUCCAUAUAAAUGAUUUCAUGUAGCCAAGCACAGUGGUGUGUGCCUUUAGCUCCAGUACAUGGGAAGUGGAAGCAGGCAGAUCUAUGUGAGUUCAAGAGCAGCCUGGUCUACAGAGCAAGCUCCAAGCCAGGCAAGUCUACAUAUGACUGUCUCAAAAAAAAAAAAAAAAAAAAAAGAUUCCAUGUAUUAUACUGCACUGGCUUCUUUCACUUAAAAAUAAUGUUUUCCAGGGGCUAAGGAAAUGGCUCCAUCAGUAAAGUGCUGGCUAUGCAAGCAUCCUGAGUUCCACUCCAAGAACGAAUGUAAACAAACAAACAAACAAACAAACAGAAACAAAAAACCCUAGGCAUUGUGGUACACACCUAUAUCCUGUCCACUGAGAAAGGAAAGAUAGGCUGAUCCAUGGGGCUCAAUAAUGGGGGCUGGAGAGAUGGCUCAGCGGUUAAGAGCACCCGACUGCUCUUCCAGAGGUCCUGAGUUCAAUUCCCAGCAACCACAUGGUGGCUCACAACCAUCUGUAAAGAGAUCCGAUGCCCUCUUCUGGUGUAUCUGAAGACAGCUACAGUGUACUUAUAUAUAAUAAAUAAAUAAAUCUUUAAAAAAAAAUAAAAAAAUAAUGGCUUGGCCAGCCUAGCUUACUUGUCGAACCAGACCAGUGAAAGAUCCUAUCUCAAAAACAAGGUGAGUGGCACCAAAAGUAAGACAUACAAGAUUGACCUUUGGUCCCCAUGUGCACAUGCACAAAAAAUGUUUUCCAAGUUCAUCUGUGUUGUUGUAUAUGUUAUUUUUAUUACAAAAUAAUAUUCUAUUGUACAGAUUUUCUGUGUUUUGUUUAUCCAUUGGUCAGUUGAUAAGCGUUUCAGUUGUUUUUAUAUUUUUGCAGAUUUUCUUGAAUGUCUUUGUGUUUAUCGGAAUAUGUUUUCUUCUCUCCUUAAUCGAAUCACUGUGUCUUAUGACAUUCUAUAUUUAACUUUUUUGAGAAAAAAUUGUUUGCACAGGUGCCUCUAUCAUUUUCCAUUCCUACCAACAAUGUGCCAAUUUCUCCACAUCCGCAGCAGCACAUUAUUUUGCCAUUUUGUUUUUGUUUUGCCUUUGAUUGUAAAUAUUCUAGUAAAUAUAGUAUCUCACGGUUUUGAUUUUCAUUUCAUAAUAAUGCUUUGAAAUACCCUUUUGUCCAUUUAUUCUCUAUUUGUGUAUAAUCAUUAAAGAAAUGUCUGUUUAAA